rnacentral:ncRNA from 1 species
ACCAGGCGUUAAAAAGCAGACUCAGCGCCUAAGAGUCAGUGGGAAACCAUUGGCUAGUGCUUGGGUUUCAUUACUCAAGUGCAACACUGAUCAAAUUGCGGGAAAGCCCUAAAGCUUUGCUAACCAAGCUAAGUGUGAAAGCACUCAGUGGCCGGGUUAAAGACCUCGGGUAUGGUAAAAUCAGCAAAGAUGCAACAAUGGGCAAUCCGCAGCCAAGCUCCUGAAGCCUUAUAGGCAAUGGAGAAGGUUCAGAGACUAAAUGGCAGUGGGCCAACUUGUUGGCUUAAGAUAUAGUCCGUCCCAGCUGAAAGGCUGUCUGCUAGAGGAAGACCUUUCUAGGUCUGAGAGCUAGUAGAGGGUAGGAGAAGUCUCUCCUACCUGGAGGAAACGGGAGCC